AUGCAAGUCGAGCGAAUGGAUUAAGAGCUUGCUCUUAUGAAGUUAGCGGCGGACGGGUGAGUAACACGUGGGUAACCUGCCCAUAAGACUGGGAUAACUCCGGGAAACCGGGGCUAAUACCGGAUAACAUUUUGAACUGCAUGGUUCGAAAUUGAAAGGCGGCUUCGGCUGUCACUUAUGGAUGGACCCGCGUCGCAUUAGCUAGUUGGUGAGGUAACGGCUCACCAAGGCAACGAUGCGUAGCCGACCUGAGAGGGUGAUCGGCCACACUGGGACUGAGACACGGCCCAGACUCCUACGGGAGGCAGCAGUAGGGAA
rnacentral:rRNA from 1 species